GCUUAACACAUGCAAGUCGAGCGGUAAGGCCCUUCGGGGUACACGAGCGGCGAACGGGUGAGUAACACGUGGGUGAUCUGCCUCGCACUCUGGGAUAAGCCUGGGAAACUGGGUCUAAUACCGGAUAUGACUUCUGGUCGCAUGGCCGGGGGUGGAAAGAUUUAUCGGUGCGAGAUGAGCCCGCGGCCUAUCAGCUUGUUGGUGGGGUAAUGGCCUACCAAGGCGACGACGGGUAGCCGGCCUGAGAGGGCGACCGGCCACACUGGGACUGAGACACGGCCCAGACUCCUACGGGAGGCAGCAGUGGGGAAUAUUGCACAAUGGGCGGAAGCCUGAUGCAGCGACGCCGCGUGAGGGAUGACGGCCUUCGGGUUGUAAACCUCUUUCGACAGGGACGAAGCGCAAGUGACGGUACCUGUAGAAGAAGCACCGGCCAACUACGUGCCAGCAGCCGCGGUAAUACGUAGGGUGCGAGCGUUGUCCGGAAUUACUGGGCGUAAAGAGCUUGUAGGCGGCUUGUCGCGUCGAUCGUGAAAACUCACAGCUCAACUGUGAGCUUGCGGUCGAUACGGGCAGGCUUGAGUACUGCAGGGGAGACUGGAAUUC
rnacentral:rRNA from 1 species